CCUACGGGGCGCACCAGUGGGGAAUAUUGCACAAUGGGCGCAAGCCUGAUGCAGCCAUGCCGCGUGUAUGAAGAAGGCCUUCGGGUUGUAAAGUACUUUCAGCGGGGAGGAAGGCGAUAAGGUUAAUAACCUUGUUGAUUGACGUUACCCGCAGAAGAAGCACCGGCUAACUCCGCGCCAGCAGCCGCGGUAAUACGGAGGGUGCAGGCGUUAAUCGGAAUUACUGGGCGUAAAGCGCACGCAGGCGGUCUGUCAAGUCGGAUGUGAAAUCCCCGGGCUCAACCUGGGAACUGCAUUCGAAACUGGCAGGCUAGAGUCUUGUAGAGGGGGGUAGAAUUCCAGGUGUAGCGAUGAAAUGCGUAGAGAUCUGGAGGAAUACCGGUGGCGAAGGCGACCCCCUGGACAAAGACUGACGCUCAGGUGCGAAAGCGUGGGGAGCAAACAGGAUUAGAUACCCUAGUAGUC
rnacentral:rRNA from 1 species